UACGAAGGGGGCUAGCGUUGCUCGGAAUCACUGGGCGUAAAGCGCACGUAGGCGGAUUGCUAAGUCAGGGGUGAAAUCCUGGAGCUCAACUCCAGAACUGCCUUCGAUACUGGCGAUCUUGAGUCCGGGAGAGGUGAGUGGAACUCCGAGUGUAGAGGUGAAAUUCGUAGAUAUUCGCAAGAACACCAGUGGCGAAGGCGGCUCACUGGCCCGGUACUGACGCUG
rnacentral:rRNA from 1 species